UGGGGAAUUUUGGACGAAUUGGGCGAAAGCCUGAAUCCAGCAAUGCCGCGUGUGUGAAGAAGGCCUUCGGGUUGUAAAGCACUUUUGUCCGGAAAGAAAUCCUUGGCUCUAAUACAGUCGGGGGAUGACGGUACCGGAAGAAUAAGCACCGGCUAACUACGUGCCAGCAGCCGCGGUAAUACGUAGGGUGCAAGCGUUAAUCGGAGUUACUGGGCGUAAAGCGUGCGCAGGCGGUUUGCUAAGACCGAUGUGAAAUCCCCGGGCUCAACCUGGGAACUGCAUUGGUGACUGGCAGGCUAGAGUAUGGCAGAGGGGGGUGAGAAUUCCACGUGUAGCAGUGAAAUGCGUAGAGAUGUGGAGGAAUACCGAUGGCGAAGGCAGCCCCU
rnacentral:rRNA from 1 species